UUCACAUCCUUACAGCUUGAUUAUUUUACUUAAGUUAUGAAGUCUGCGACGUUAUUUCUGUUUUCAUGUGUUAUGAUGCUCCUUAUUUUGAACACGGUUCAAGAGAUGGAAGAUCAAAAGGUGAGGAAGUGCAAAAUCAGUAAUGUUUGGAAGGAAGAUGGUCGACAUUGCACUGGUGAUGCUAAAGCUAGAGACUAUAUGUGUGUAGAAGCUUUUGCGGCGUUAAAAACAAUUGUUACUAAUUGCACUUGUGAUGAAACUAGUUACCCUGAUCUUACUUGUAACUGUCUUGCCGAUUGUGAGUGGUGAUCAUGUGAAUUAAGUCACUUUAAGAUAUUUAGUUAAAAAGAUGUGUGAUCAACUUCAAUCCAAAAGAGAUGCCAAAUCAAGAAAAAAUUGAGGCUGUUUUACUUUUACCCAUUGA